AGAAUGGUGUACCCGUGGGUGAGGUACAGACUACUGUCCACGAACACACCACUCACGCCGCACUGACGGCUGACGAAAUCCAGACACAGGUUCACGUCUCUGGACUCUUUCAUUCUGGGAUAGGCCCAAGGGUUACUGGGCGAAGAGGACGGCGAAGGGAAAAUGCUGUAGGAGUUCAGCGCAUACAGACCGAGGAUUAGCACUAACAACACUUUCAGCUGCUCCUCCUUGAGAAUGCUGCGUCUUAACACAGCUAGAAUAUGAUGAAAAGAACAGGCGGAUAUGAUAAGGACUAGAACAAUGACGUUGUGUAGAUGUCUGGUCUCAAGUUGCCUCAUGAGAAACUGAGAAGCAAACUGGAUAACGGUUAGAAAUACAAGGACUACUGUAAUGAUAUUCUCAAGAGUCGCGGUUCUUUUCUGCGAUUGUCUGAAAAAUCCAACACACAAUCCAAUUAAAGUUAAAACGGUGAAUAGGGAGGUGAAAAUGUCUGAAAAGAAAAUUUCUAAAAGGAAUUUUAACGGUUUUUGGUUGUCGAAUAAAACAGUUGGUAAGUUGUUCUUCAUAUUGAAAUUUAACCACUGGCGAGGAGAUAUGAAAAUGCUGCCGUACCAGAACUGAUCUUCGUACCCACCCACCAAAACGGCUGCGACAAAUCCACAACUAGCCACAACCGUCAUCAAAAUUGUAUUCAGUAAUUGAUUGAAGUGGGUAAAAAUUAAUGGAAAGGUUACCAAAAGGGUACCAACGAAAAGCACCGUAUCCACACGAAUAUAACAAGCAAUGCCGAGUACGAACCCACUCAUAAAAUACGACAGAGUCUUGAAUAGUACUGAUAUUUUAGACACCGGAGUCUCUUUAGGGACCUCGGUGUUUGUGACCUUUUCAUCGGUAGGAUUACUAGAUUGAUCACUCUUGGUACCACUAUCUUUUCCGUUUUGAACGUAAGAUUUCAACAUAGCAGCUGUUGGGUUGUACCGGGUGUCCAGAAAGAACCCGACUAAAGGUGUCACAGAGGCGACAACGAAUGGACUCAAAAGACUAAUGUCCAGCGCAUGCGUUCCAAGCACUGAUAAAGGAAGUGAACAUGCAGUGAAUAUGGCAGCCAAUUGACUAGUCAACACACAUGGAUACAGUCUCCUUGUUAAGAAAUACACAGAUAUUGGUAGAAAUGACGUCACAAUCACAUGACCUGCUCUUGCAAUCUGAAAAAGGUUUAAAAAAAAACUUUAAUUGCUAUUUUGCCUUUGUUUAUACUACUAGUGUAUCAGAUUAAUUAAUAUAAUAUCAUCAUCAUAUAUGUAAAUAAAAAAAAGUAAAGACAAACCCCAAUACAAUUUUUGAAAAAUUAAGUUCUAUACCUGAAUGAUACGUGCAAUUCCUUAUAGUUCAUUGAUCAGUAUGAAAAUUACUUAAGUGUUUUC
rnacentral:sRNA from 1 species